ACGUAUUUAAUGAAAUGAAUGAAUGGAGUUCCAGUACUAGAAACAUUUGUAGUAAAACCACUGGACUUUUUCAAAACGCAACUGUUACAAGUGGAUAACUAAGUAAUCUGAAUCUUGCAUUAGUAUUAAAUUUUAAAGCAAAUGUCUAGAAUCAAAGUAGACAAGACACAUUACAUAAAAUUUUACAUUUAUUUAGGCAAAAAAAAAAAAAUCCCCCAAACAAAAAUCUGUACAUACAACAUUAACACCUAAGUGAUGUCCUGAUUUAAAAUAUAGCAUGAUUCAUGUACAGAACACUCCCAUUCAUCUGGCCACAGUGAGGACAGCGCCUUCAGUCCAGAUAAUUGAGAGAGAGCCUUUGAAACGUAUACACAUUACACUUUCCAAUGAACUUUUCAUAUCUUUUGAAAGGAGUUAAACUCUUCCAUCAGAAUUCAAGCAAAAGACAGCUUUUCACACUCACAAGUCAGUGAGAAUUUGACAGUGGGAAUUCUACAAAAGUCAGGGAUUUUUAUUUUAUUUUAUUCUUGCAGAUUAUCUGAGAGCAUAAAUCUUGAUAUAACAUCUUUCCAUUUUUAAAGGGAAAAAAUGCUUUUAAGAAUUUCCUGCUUUUAUGAAAGUGUGUCUCAGCUUUCAUUAGCUGAGUCGCUUCUUGCUUCUAAGCUGAUUAAAAUAAGCUUAAAAGAACCCAAUUCGAACAGUUUUCCCAAAAGUAAGUCCCAAAUUAAGCACAUACUAUUAAAGAACUAGAUUUAUGAUUUCCCAUACAAUAAUUUUGAUAAAUUUGGGAUUCUCUAAAUAUUCUUAAUAACCAGUCUGUCUAGCUAUAAAGUUAGGUUGUGCUGUUCAAAAGAGCUUUGCUUCAUCCAGAGAAAUGAGAAACAGCAUUAUUUUCCCAUAAUUUACCCCAAAAAACUGGGGAGGGGAGAAACAGGCAGAGAAAGCUCUUUCUUAGGCUACCAACCAGUUGACAAAGAGUGUCUUAGGUUAAGAUUUGGAAAUCAAAGAAUGCAUAAUUAGGAGUGUACCGUGUCAUGCAAAGUCUAUGAAAUGCUAAAAAAGAUAAAGCAUUUACUCAUUUAAAGCACAUUCAGCAAAUUUUUCUAUCAUAUUGCUAUUCUCAUCACUGGAUGAAGGCUGGAUUUGCAUUAUUCCUAAAAUGAACAGUUCAUGAGUUAACACUAAAAGUUAAAAAUGUGUCAAUACAAAGCAAAUGGUAAAGAUUAAACAUCCAAUAUCCACACAAUCAUCUGAAACUGCUACAAUGGAUUUGAGAGGGAAACCUUAAGUUUGCAAACCUCUCUGUAAGCUGUCUUAAAACACUACUCUGAGGCCCUAGCCAUAUAAUGUCCCCAAAUAAGUCACAUACAGAUAAAACUGCCCACAUCAGCUGACAGUAUGAUACUGCCUUUAACUUACACCUUUAGUUUAAUAAUACUGUUUGUCCCAAGAUAAAAGUUGCACAAUAAUCAAAUAAUGUAAACAUACCAUUAGAGGGAGGAAAAGAGUGGGUUUCAACGUACACAAAACAGUAAGCUUCUUAUCCCUGCUACUCAUGACCUCUUUUCAACCUUGCAUACUGCUGCACAUUGUUCUAUGGUGGGUGGGUGGGAGGUGUCUAGCUUUAAAAUA